rnacentral:rRNA from 1 species
GGGUUGUGAGGUUAAGCGACUAAGCGUACACGGUGGAUGCCCUGGCAGUCAGAGGCGAUGAAGGGCGUGCUAAUCUGCGAUAAGCGCCGGUAAGGUGAUAUGAACCGUUAUAACCGGCGAUACCCGAAUGGGGAAACCCAGUGUGACUCGUCACACUAUCAUUAACUGAAUCCAUAGGUUAAUGAGGCGAACCGGGGGAACUGAAACAUCUAAGUACCCCGAGGAAAAGAAAUCAACCGAGAUUCCCCCAGUAGCGGCGAGCGAACGGGGAGGAGCCCAGAGCCUGAAUCAGCAUGUGUGUUAGUGGAAGCGUCUGGAAAGGCGCGCGAUACAGGGUGACAGCCCCGUACACAAAAGCGCAUGUGCUGUGAGCUCGAUGAGUAGGGCGGGACACGUGGUAUCCUGUCUGAAUAUGGGGGGACCAUCCUCCAAGGCUAAAUACUCCUGACUGACCGAUAGUGAACCAGUACCGUGAGGGAAAGGCGAAAAGAACCCCGGCGAGGGGAGUGAAAAAGAACCUGAAACCGUGUACGUACAAGCAGUGGGAGCACCCUUCGGGGUGUGACUGCGUACCUUUUGUAUAAUGGGUCAGCGACUUAUAUUCUGUAGCAAGGUUAACCGUAUAGGGGAGCCGGAGGGAAACCGAGUCUUAACCGGGCGUUAAGUUGCAGGGUAUAGACCCGAAACCCGGUGAUCUAGCCAUGGGCAGGUUGAAGGUUGGGUAACACUAACUGGAGGACCGAACCGACUAAUGUUGAAAAAUUAGCGGAUGACCUGUGGCUGGGGGUGAAAGGCCAAUCAAACCGGGAGAUAGCUGGUUCUCCCCGAAAGCUAUUUAGGUAGCGCCUCGUGAAUUCAUCUCCGGGGGUAGAGCACUGUUUCGGCUAGGGGGCCAUCCCGGCUUACCAACCCGAUGCAAACUGCGAAUACCGGAGAAUGUUAUCACGGGAGACACACGGCGGGUGCUAACGUCCGUCGUGAAGAGGGAAACAACCCAGACCGCCAGCUAAGGUCCCAAAGUCAUGGUUAAGUGGGAAACGAUGUGGGAAGGCCCAGACAGCCAGGAUGUUGGCUUAGAAGCAGCCAUCAUUUAAAGAAAGCGUAAUAGCUCACUGGUCGAGUCGGCCUGCGCGGAAGAUGUAACGGGGCUAAACCAUGCACCGAAGCUGCGGCAGCGACGCUUAUGCGUUGUUGGGUAGGGGAGCGUUCUGUAAGCCUGUGAAGGUGGCCUGUGAGGGUUGCUGGAGGUAUCAGAAGUGCGAAUGCUGACAUAAGUAACGAUAAAGCGGGUGAAAAGCCCGCUCGCCGGAAGACCAAGGGUUCCUGUCCAACGUUAAUCGGGGCAGGGUGAGUCGACCCCUAAGGCGAGGCCGAAAGGCGUAGUCGAUGGGAAACAGGUUAAUAUUCCUGUACUUGGUGUUACUGCGAAGGGGGGACGGAGAAGGCUAUGUUGGCCGGGCGACGGUUGUCCCGGUUUAAGCGUGUAGGUGUGUGUUCCAGGUAAAUCCGGUUCACUUUAACACUGAGGCGUGAUGACGAGGCACUACGGUGCUGAAGCAACAAAUGCCCUGCUUCCAGGAAAAGCCUCUAAGCAUCAGGUAACAUCAAAUCGUACCCCAAACCGACACAGGUGGUCAGGUAGAGAAUACCAAGGCGCUUGAGAGAACUCGGGUGAAGGAACUAGGCAAAAUGGUGCCGUAACUUCGGGAGAAGGCACGCUGACACGUAGGUGAAGUGAUUUACUCAUGGAGCUGAAGUCAGUCGAAGAUACCAGCUGGCUGCAACUGUUUAUUAAAAACACAGCACUGUGCAAACACGAAAGUGGACGUAUACGGUGUGACGCCUGCCCGGUGCCGGAAGGUUAAUUGAUGGGGUCAGCGCAAGCGAAGCUCCUGAUCGAAGCCCCGGUAAACGGCGGCCGUAACUAUAACGGUCCUAAGGUAGCGAAAUUCCUUGUCGGGUAAGUUCCGACCUGCACGAAUGGCGUAAUGAUGGCCAGGCUGUCUCCACCCGAGACUCAGUGAAAUUGAACUCGCUGUGAAGAUGCAGUGUACCCGCGGCAAGACGGAAAGACCCCGUGAACCUUUACUAUAGCUUGACACUGAACAUUGAGCCUUGAUGUGUAGGAUAGGUGGGAGGCUUUGAAGUGUGGACGCCAGUCUGCAUGGAGCCGACCUUGAAAUACCACCCUUUAAUGUUUGAUGUUCUAACGUGGACCCGUGAUCCGGGUUGCGGACAGUGUCUGGUGGGUAGUUUGACUGGGGCGGUCUCCUCCUAAAGAGUAACGGAGGAGCACGAAGGUUGGCUAAUCCUGGUCGGACAUCAGGAGGUUAGUGCAAUGGCAUAAGCCAGCUUGACUGCGAGCGUGACGGCGCGAGCAGGUGCGAAAGCAGGUCAUAGUGAUCCGGUGGUUCUGAAUGGAAGGGCCAUCGCUCAACGGAUAAAAGGUACUCCGGGGAUAACAGGCUGAUACCGCCCAAGAGUUCAUAUCGACGGCGGUGUUUGGCACCUCGAUGUCGGCUCAUCACAUCCUGGGGCUGAAGUAGGUCCCAAGGGUAUGGCUGUUCGCCAUUUAAAGUGGUACGCGAGCUGGGUUUAGAACGUCGUGAGACAGUUCGGUCCCUAUCUGCCGUGGGCGCUGGAGAACUGAGGGGGGCUGCUCCUAGUACGAGAGGACCGGAGUGGACGCAUCACUGGUGUUCGGGUUGUCAUGCCAAUGGCACUGCCCGGUAGCUAAAUGCGGAAGAGAUAAGUGCUGAAAGCAUCUAAGCACGAAACUUGCCCCGAGAUGAGUUCUCCCUGAGACUUAGAGUCUCCUGAAGGAACGUUGAAGACGACGACGUUGAUAGGCCGGGUGUGUAAGCGCAGCGAUGCGUUGAGCUAACCGGUACUAAUGAACCGUGAGGCUUAACCUUACAACGCCGAAG